CCAUCCUCAUCGACUCCCUCGUCCUAGGGUUACGCUCCACCACAGCCGUCGCCUCCUCACGAGAGCGAGUGGGUAGGAAUACGAUCUGCCGCGGACGUCGCCUCCUCGCACCAUUGCCGCCUUGCACCGACUCCCAGGUCGUCGGCGGCUCGCACUGGCGCUCAGAUCGCGCCGGCUCGCACCGACGCCCAGGUCGUGCCGGUUCCUCCCCACCUGCCUCGAUCCCACUGUCCUGACCUAGAGGACAAGCGGCGCCUGUGUUGGAGACGUUGGCCCUGAUGACAGUGAGGAGCACGGCGCACCUCCACGACGACACCUCGCUGCCGCCGCUCGGCGUAGAAGGGCGCACAUCCCCCUCCUAAAGAUUGGUAGGUUCCCGCGAUCCCCUUCCAGCCCCUGAAUUCCUCGGCCCCCUCCCCCUGUCGUCUCGAUGCCGAGGCCGAGCGGCGGCUGAUUGGCCCCGGGGGCUCGUGAUCAUGUGCGACGAGCACAUCGUUCGGUGCUGCUAUUUUCCAUUCGCUGCUGGGUUGCUUCUACUCUCCACCAAUCUCUCAAGUAGCAAAGAGUAGGUUUGACCUCAAUUUCGAUGCAGAUAUGGAUUGGGAUGUGAUGCGUGUAGUUGCCAAUUAAGUGAUUUGGAUCUUGCCCUCAAUUAGAGUUCCCAAUCUAAAAAAGUGGGGUUUAUGAAUUUUAUUAUUUUUCAGCUUGAAUGGACUGUAGCUUCGCUUAGCUGACUGACAGUUGUAUUUGACUGCAUAACUGGAUUAAUUCAUUUCAUGGUAGAUGCCGAUUUUGACCUUGGUUGAUCAUGCUUUGUUCCGUGUUUGACCUGCAACAUAUUUUCUAUGCAUUCGCAGAAAUGGUAACUGAAUAAUUACUUCGUACUGCAGAACAUCUUGCUUAAUACCCGAGUCCCCGGCCCUCGUUGCUACAGGUUUAUCUGCCCAAUCACAUGAAUUGAUUUUUUUUCACCCAAAAAGGUUGAAAUCAACUGCUUUGCAUACACAAAUUAAAUAGUGAGUAUUGUGUUUUAUUAGCAAAAUUUAACAGUUCAUACACAAUUAGGAAGUUGCAUGAAGAUUACAUUAUUUUUCUAGAACAUGUUCUAUUGUAAAGAUAAGGUCAGAUGCAUACCAACACAAUGCUCUGUUUAGUGAAGCUACAAAACCCACCACCAUAACUGAUAAUUCCGUGUUUUAUUGCCUGGUGAGUAUUUAUUCUGUUUCAGUGCUUACUAAUUGGCCCUUUGCUGAUCAAUAUGGUUCCCUUUGAAUGGCAUGAAGGAGGAAUAAAGGUUGUUCUCACUCCCUUUUGGUCUGUGCUGGCGUGGAUGGAGGGUGACCGGUGAGCCUCUUGGUCUGUGCAGAUCAUUUAGAGUAAUUCAUUUUCGUUCAUCCUGAAAUUCAGCGAACGGACAUCAAAUAUAUUACAUUAGAUGAUGGGGGGAAACUGUAGUUGCAGUGCUUCACUUCUGCAACAAUGGACUCCCCGAAGUGCCAACACCUUUACAUGGAUAUUCAGGAUAUUUUUUAAGGUUAGAAUAUGAAAGUAGAACAGCAAGUUCCAUUACUGUGGGAAAAGUGUCCGGCCCUGAAUGAUGCCUUAAUGUGGCCUUUAAGUUUCAGGUACAUCAUUCUCUUCUGCUCUAUUGCGUCGUGUGCUCCACCCCUGUACCUUAUGGUUCAGGAGUUUCCGGUGACAAAAUGUGUUAUAUUUGUAGAGUCGAUGCUUUAGGAGAUGGAAAAGCAGCUGCCCACGCAAUGGUUUCCAGUUAUAAACCAAGCUGUUUAAAAAUGAUCAAGUAAAGAAAGAAAUAUUUCAUGGCUGUACCUAUUUCCUUCGUGGGAUUUAAAGGGUUACUAGGUAGCAACAAUUGGACACUUCAUUUGUUUGCUUUUGAACUAAGUUUGAUAAGGCCUAUGAAGUCUUGUAUAAAGGAUUCUUAUGAUAAGCGUGGAAAGCAACUUCUGAACUUUUAUGUAGAUAUUUAAGUGCCAAUGCCAUAUUUUGUUAUAACACAGGAAAACCAACUUUUGAGGCCACCGAUUUACCUUGGAUGUUGCAUGUGAAUUACUUUAGCUAAUUGUCUUGCCGUCGAGCUUUUAGUUGAAGUUCACUGAAUUUCUUGUAAUGACAUUUCAGGUAUUAUACGAUCGACCCAACUGUUAGCUUUAGGAUGCUUUUUGGAGUCGACUCAUGAAGAUGAUCGCUAGUCUGCACGAACAUUUGUAGCUUCCGCAUAAAUGAUUCAGAUAGUCUACAAGAGAGCUCACCGACGGUGAUUGGAGCACCGACUUGGGUGACCCAGCUGUUUGACGCUGCCGGCUCGACCUACUUCGCUAGCAGCAUCGAGGAGUACGUGGAGCUCCUAGCCUCCCGAGCCCUCCGCGGGGCUCGUCUCGUCAGGCCGGCAUGGUUGCAGUAUAAAAACCCUUACUGCCAUAUACAUGUCCGUUUUUCCCUCCCCGUCGCUUCUUCGGAUGAAAACCACAACAAACUCCUCUGCAAACACGUGAACAAUCGGCCAUGGCUUCCGCCCUCCGAGCCCCGUGAAGUCAUGUACAAUCUUACUGGCUGGCAUCAUGUACAAUCUUACCAGCUGGCAUCAUGUACAAUCUUACCAGCUGGCAUCAUAUAGUUAUCAGAGUGUCACUUUUCGAUUUGGUACUGUCAUGUUUUUCAGCAGCCAUUAUAUAGUUAGCUGCUCAUCUUCCCACCUGCUGUUAUAGCCCUGCACAUAUCUGAAGGCAAAGAUGGUCCAUGAGUGACCAUGUGAUGAAAAUCUUCAUGGCUAUUUCAAAAUAGACCUGAUGUUAGGUGAAAAUAUUCAUCGAUGGUUCAAUGAAGAUGCAUCAAAUUUCAAAAUAGAAUGCUAAUAAAUUACACCCUAGAGCAAUAUGAGAGUAUUUAAAUUUUGAUGGACCUAAACCUAUCCAGCACAGUACACAAGCUCUUUUAAAAUAUCGACAUUUAUCCGGUUUGCAGUUUUUUGUACUGGAGUUAAACCUAUCCAGUGUGUUCGUGAACCAGAAGUCGGCUUCAGUAUAUAUCAAUUGGAAGUCAGCUUAUGAGGCUUCAGUAUAUAUCAAUUGGAAGUCGGCUUGUGUGGCUCUGCCUGUAUGUUUACAUUUUGCGAACGCAGUUUAUGCCUGACAUUUGUGUCUCAUUUUUUUUUUGUACCGCAGUUAAACCUAUCCAGCGUGUUCGUGAACCUGAAGUCGGCUUCAGUAUAUAUCAAUUGGAAGUCAGCUUAUGAGGCUUCAGUAUAUAUCAAUUGGAAGUCGGCUUGUGUGGCUCUGCCUGUAUGUUUACAUUUUGCAAACGCAGUUUAUGCCUGGCAUUUGUGUCUCUUUUUUUUGUACUACAGUUAAAUCUAUCCAGCGUGUUCGUGAACCUGAAGUCGGCUUCAGUAUAUAUCAAUUGGAAGUCGGCUUGUGUGGCCCUGCCCGUAUGUUUACAUUUUGCAAACACAGUUUAUGCCCGACUGUAGGAGAUUGGGAGUUGUACAAGGAGGAAAGGAGAAGAGAAGAGAAGAGAAGAAAGAGGACUUCUUUCAUUGGAUUCACGGCUGUUUGAUUCCUUUUUGCUGCAAGGAUAGAUCUCCGUUGACCACAUAUUCAGUAGUAGAUCAAAAGCUUAUUUUAAAUUCUAGGAAUAAUUGGGUUCAUAAUUUGGUUGUGGCACCCACAUGAAAGCUGUAGAGUUCAUCGACUACUUUCCAAGGAUACUAAGUUUCUGCAAUUCAGAAUAAUGAUUGUCAAGAUAUCACCAAAACAUAUUUCUAUGUUCGAGGAUUUUUAAUACUAGAAGAUUUUCUGUUUUACAAGAAUUAUACUCUACUUACAGAAAGAACCAGUUUUUGGCCACCACAUGAACUUGCAAAUGAUCUCCUUCUGAUAUUCAUACUAUUCUCAUAUGCUUGAUUUUGUGAAGUGCAUUAAGAUUUACAGUAUAGAGCAGAUAUGUUCAGAAUGGUUUCAAUGUUAAGUGAAAGAUAGGAAGACAUGAUUUGAGUAUCUUGAUGAGGGCCGGAUUUAACAUACUCAUGAAUAACGUCUUUUAUAUUGCUGGGACAUGUUUUUGGCCUCGCAUUACUUAACUCUGUAGAUGGUUUGUAGAGAUGCAUCUUCUCUUCUUCUUUUUGGUUCUUCAGAGGAGCGAUGCUGCCUGUGGGUCGUGGACAAAGCGGCUGCUACUUCCAGGAUAACAGGGACAAUGCUUCUGCCAUACCGGCAGGUGCUGGACAUGAUUCUCAAAGAAGAUACAGAUGUGCAUGCUUCACAUCUUCUACACGGUUAUGCAAAGUGGGAUUUUAUUCAUAUUUUGAUGAGCUUAAUUUCUUAUGCUACUAUUUGCUUCUGCCUGAAGGAUACAUAUGGUAUGUUUUGUGAGCGGUGGGUAUGGAUGAGGUGAGAGCGUCUGUUAGUGCGUCAUUUUUGUUGGAUACUUUAAUCUGUUAGGGUUGGUAUAUAUUGAGUGUUGAUGAUGACAUGUUUAUUUUGAUUGGCGUGGUUGCCUCAAAGUAAUGCCCUGCUACUUCUUGGGGGGCGUGAGCGAAGAUUUAUGCCUUAAUCAUAGGAAUGAGGGAGUAGGUCUCCAACAGAAUAGGCGAGCAAUAAUAUAAUUGUCACAUUGGGUGACCUUUAUUGGCUAAUUGUAUAGCUUAUGAUCUUAUGGAGUUUAGGUUUGUAAAUCCACGUAUUUUUUAGAUGAAGAAACAAAGAAGGAAAUGACUAUCAAGGAUCACAUAUGGUUAAAUGUAGAAACAACAAACACGGUGGCAUAUCAGUUGCAACAUGGUGAAACUUUUAGGAUAGAAGGGUAAACGAAUUGCUCGGUCGCUUCAAGAGUUAAUAAUGGACACGGUGGCAUAGGAAUACUUAGCGGUAAUGCAUGAUAUUCGACUUUUUGUUACAAUGUGGCAAUGACUCAGGAUAUAUCAGAUCUCCCUUGAUGGCGGUGGCGGAUCAGCACGAACACAAGGGGUGGGGAUCAGGGUGGAGAGUGGGUAGUUGGCGGGGGACUCCUCCUUGAUGAUCCGUGGGGAUAUACAAUGUGAAGGUGGGAGGGCGCCAUGGCGAGGUGAGGUGGGCGUCAUCUGGUUUUAAAGAAGAGGGCUCCAGCGAAAUGUCCCGCUAUGGCGGGAAACCAAGCAGGAAGGGAUGGGUUCAACAGAAAAAGGGAGUGGUACAUCGUGGGUUGAAUUUUUGUGUUAGGACCGUGUGUUGGAGAUAAAAUGACGGAUAGUCCGGAGAAGCACAUUUCUCCUCCGCAUAUUGUCUAGAUUUGAAGAAGUCCAGAUUGUCCAGAUGGUUGAAUUUUGGGGUGCAUGCUGGGUGCCCAUUUGAUGUUCGAACACGCCCAAAUAUAUGAGGAAGAAAUGAACUCCGACCUUCGAGACAA